CCCCUAGACGUUCUGGGCUGCACGCGCGCUACAAUAAUACGCACAGCGAGUAUCACCGAGCUCGAAAGGGCAAGGUAAACAAUAGAAAAGGUACUGUAAUGGUUAUAGAUCCUUGUAAUUAUUGAUCUUCAACGAGGAAUUCCUAGUAAGUAUGUGUCAUCAUCACGCACUGAUUACGUCCCCGCCCUUUGUACACACCGCCCGUCGCUCCUACCGAUUGGGUGAGCCGAUGAAACUCUCGGAUGUAGGCUAUUCAUAGCCCGCAGAAGAGAUUUGAAUCGUAGCGCUUAGAGGAAGGAGAAGUCGUAACA
rnacentral:rRNA from 1 species